rnacentral:misc_RNA from 1 species
AAGUCGUAACAAGGUUUCCGUAGGUGAACCUGCGGAAGGAUCAUUACCGAGUUAGGGUCUUAUAGGCCCGAUCUCUAACCCUUUGUUUACUAUACCAUGUUGCUUUGGCGGGCCCGCCUUUCGGGGCCGCUGGGGGCUUUCAUGCCCCUGGCCAGUGCUCGCCAGUAGCCUUAUUAAAUUCUUUCAUAAUUAUGUUGUCUGAGUAUAAAUAUAAAUCGUUAAAACUUUCAACAACGGAUCUCUUGGUUCUG